CGCCUUUUGAAUUAUAUAAAAGGUAACGCCUGCCCAGUGACAUCAUGUUCAACGGCCGCGGUAUUCUGACCGUGCGAAGGUAGCGUAAUCACUUGUCUUUUAAAUAAAGACUAGUAUGAAUGGCAUCACGAGGAUUUAGCUGUCUCCUUAAGCUCAUCAGUGAAACUGAUCUCCCCGUGCAAAAACGGGGAUAAAUUCAUAAGACGAGAAGACCCUAUGGAGCUUAAAACUAAUAGCCGCCUAUGCUAUCUGCUAAUAUAAAUAGCACUAUAACAAUAAAUCCGGCCUACGUUUUCAGUUGGGGUGACUAUGGAGAAAAACUCAUCCUCCAUGAAGAAACAAGCCCUGAGUUACCACUCUAUGCAUUAGCAAGCCUGACUUUACUUGAUCCAAUCUCUUUGAUCAACGGACCAAGUUACCCUAGGGAUAACAGCGCAAUCCAUUUCAAGAGUCCUUAUCGACAAAUGGGUUUACGACCUCGAUGUUGGAUUAGGACACCCUAGUGGUGCAGCCGCUACUAACGGUUCGUUUGUUCAACGAUUAAAGUCCUA
rnacentral:rRNA from 1 species